UCUCCUUCGUUAUUUGUGAGAACUACGUAGAUGAAUUGAUAGUUGAAUUGCAUAAUUAUAGUGAAGAUUAGGAAUUAGGGUUUCUUCUAUUAUUGAAUCGAUUGCAGAUUUAGAAAGCGGGUUUCAUUUAUAAGAUUUCGAUCGAGAUUUGAGUUGGGUAUUGAAUUAAUUGACGGAUUAGGUUUAAAAUUACAGAUCGUAUCAAGUCAGGUGAUGAAACGUCUUAGUGAGUUAGGGUUAGUUCUUGAGAAAUUUGAAUGAGUGGGGGCAGAAAAGAUGAUUUCUUUGAUUCAUUCUGCUUAGCACCCAAGUUGAGUAAUAGUUUGGGGUUGGAAGCAGCAGUGGAUGCUGCAACAGAGUUCUUGAGUAAGGCAGUAAAGCUGGUGAUGGUGGCAGGGCCAAAACUAAGGGUUGCCAAGGCUGGGAAGUUGAAGCCUAAUUUGGAUCGAUUCAGUAACCCACCUGAUUGGCAGGAAAUAAUGACAUACUUUAGAGGGUCUGAGCUUCAGAACUAUUUCACCCAUAACGAGCAUACAUAAUGUCUUUUCAUAUCUUGAUUAUUAUGUAGGAGAACUCUGUGUUUGUAAAGCAAAAGAGUUCGGAGAGUAUAUCAAGCAGUAAAAAAUGCAUAGGAGCAAAUUUUGAUUUCCUGAAAACUUAGAUAGUUGGGGUUAGUUCAUGAACUUGUAUUUUCAUUCUACAAAAGUUUUUGGUGAAUGUCUCGUACUUAUAGAAACAAGAGUAGUUUUAGGUAAUGCAGAGUGGAUGAUUGCUGAAAGUUUGAAUUUUAAGGCAGCCCAAGAAAUUUUAAGUAUAAGGAAUCACAAAAAUGAUGUAUGGAAGCUAGACCUGCAAGGUUUGCAUGCAUCUGAAGCUGUUCACGCCUUGAAAGAGCGUCUUUGGAGGAUUGAGACUCAGUUCCCACUUAUUGUGCAUCCCAAUAAAGUUGUCAAACCAAUUGAUUCCAGUAGUUGCCUUAGCGUGGCCGGACAGACAGAAAAAGAGGAGGGAAUGGCAUCAUAGAGACCAGGGGUUUUACAAGUUAUAACAGGGGAAAUUGAGCUCGUUGUAGGUGAACAGGGAAGAAUGGAUCGAUUGCAGGUGGUUGUAGCUGCUGGCCGAGAUGCAACAACGAGUGGAUUUGGGUUAAAGCUUUUAACGUUCCAGACUUGAAUAUAGUUGGAAUCAACUCCAUGAACUAAUGAUUGCAUGCACUAGAGAGUAGUAUGUCGGUGGUCACAUGGAUCGAUUUCAGGUGGUGGUCGUUUGGGUCCAUCUGUGGCUAGAGAUGCUUAUGAGACACCAACAAGAAGUGGAGAUAUGUGCUGGCUGGAUUUUUGAGAGAUUGCAAGCAACGUUGGUUGUUGUUUGGAUCGGCCAGUUAACAUGAAUGAAGGUGUUUCAGUCUAUUGUAAUUGGUGGGUGACUUAGACAUGGAUGAACAUUGGUGAUGAAGUUCAGUUCUGCGGCCAGGGAUGGAUAUAAGAUGCUAUGGUCGGAUCUUGGGAGGAUUUGCCGGAUUUUGUACAUCCCGUAAUGACGAGAUUUAGAAGGUUCAAGUCAAAGAAACUGUUUUCAAUCGGUGGCCAAGACAGUAAGAGAUAGAAAGUGUUAUUGAAAUUGAAUUUGGUUGCAGUUGAUGGAGAACAAAUUGGCAGCAAAAAUACUUGCGACUUAACAGCCUCCAAGAACCUCAUGUAGAUGCUAUUUCAUUUCCACUUGAUGAACUCAUACAAAGAAUGGUGGUUCCAAUAAAGUCCUACCAAUCUGGUGGCUUUUGCUGCAUAACAACAUUUAAUCAAAACCCAUCUAAAUUUGAAAAGAAAUUGAACAACUUCUCCAAUAGA